CUGAAUUCCAGUUCUAGAACUUCACUAGAAAAAAAUCAGGAUGUGUGGAAAUACUUAUCUACAAGGAUGUUCAUCCCAGUGUUAUUUAUAAUGGCAAAAAAAGAAGGUUUCUGGAACUAGAUCUUCCUCCCUCAGAUAUUCUUUAUGUUAACGAAUUGUCUUCUGUAGAAAUGCAAAGAUCUUUUGGAAGGGCUGUACACAGGUCUAAGAUUGUAGCUAAGAUAUUGCUACCCAUGUAAGGACCAUAUUUCUCAACUUCUUGCCAAGUCUGGGAUUUGAUUCUACCUUACUGAAAGCUAAUAUGUUAGCUUCUGACUGUUUCACUGGUGCUAAUGGAAGACACAAGACCCUUAGGUCAGAAAAAAAGGAGUUUAGUACUCAUGACACAACAAGAAGCAGGAACAUCAGCAUAUUUGCAUUGGUUCUUCUUGCCCUGGGUCUUAUGGGGGAUAAUACGAUGGGCCCAGAUGGAUGUUAUGCAUGCAGAGUGUUUGUGUUGCAACUGAGGAGCACCAAGCUUGGGGAAUCCAUCACUUUUAUAGUAAGCAAUAAGCAAGCCUAUUCAUUGUGCCUGGUGGUGUGUGUGUCAUAGGGAAGGAUAAGUAGAUGUAAUUUCAUUUCCUCAGGUAACUGUCUGUAUAAACAACCCUAAGAAAUAGCCGGAAUAAAAGAGCAGUGAGAUCCUUGAAGUUCUAGUAUAUUCAGCAAGACAUGUAGGAAUGCAAGAGGUCCAAGGAGCUCUUUUGAAACUAGAUAUGGCCAUGUCACUUAGACUUCUGCAUUAGAAUAUGAGGGGCAAGAUAUGUGUCCCUUGUGGGAUGACACCUUAAAACCAGGCUAUGCCUCAUUUAAUUCCUCUUUCCCCUUUGUGUUUGCUGGUUAAUGGCAAUGACAAGAGAGAUUUUGGAAGACAAGUGUUGAAAAAGCUGCCAUCAGCCUGAGUCCAGGAUGACUGUGCACAGAAGAGUUGCCCAUCAACUUAGAACAUUCACUUCAAAUUGUCACGUGCGCGAGACAUACACUUUUUAUUCUGCAAGCUGUCUGGAAAUGUCAUUUGUUACAGUGACUCAGUAUACCCUUCACUAAUAAAACAUCUCAUGCAGAAGGGUUGCAAGGAUUAAAUGAAA